rnacentral:misc_RNA from 1 species
UCUCCGUUGGUGAACCAGCGGAGGGAUCAUUACAGGACUCGCAAGACUCCUUCACCCUGUGAACCUCACUACAAGCACGUUGCUUCGGCGGGUGUCCCGGCGGGGGUUUUCCCUCGCCGGGGCGCACAGCCCGCCGGCAGCCUACUAUACUCUGUCUCUUUGCGUUGGCAUCUCAAGAAAAAACAAACAAGUUAAAACUUUCAACAACGGAUCUCUUGGUUCUG